rnacentral:rRNA from 1 species
UACGUAGGGUCCAAGCGUUGUCCGGAAUUAUUGGGCGUAAAGAGCUCGUAGGCGGUGUGUCGCGUCGGAUGUGAAAGCCCGGGGCUUAACUUCGGGUCUGCAUUCGGUACGGGCAUGCUGGAGUUCGGUAGGGGAGACUGGAAUUCCUGGUGUAGCGGUGAAAUGCGCAGAUAUCAGGAGGAACACCGGUGGCGAAGGCGGGUCUCUGGGCCUGUGACUGACGCUGAGGAGCGAAAGCGUGGGGAGCGAACAGG